GAGGAAGUUGCCUCUCUCUGGCGCCUGCAUUCAAUGAACGUUUGUAAUGUUAGCAGGUGUGGACCUUGAGGAGAUUUUCUCUCCCUGGCUGCCCAAUUAUCAUUUUUAGAGAGGCAAUGCGAUAAUUGCUGAACGAUGUCACCUGACAUUCCUAGCGGGUGGGAGAGAGCCCUCUCCUGCCCCGCUCAUUGCCUAACUACCUGUAACAGGUGUGUGGGUGAGUGCUCCCUGUGAUGGAACGGUGUCCUGUUCAGGACUGGGUGCCACCUGGCACCUUGAGCUGCCAGGACCGGCUCGGGCUGCUCGCGAUCCCAAACUAGAACAAAUGGAAAUGUUCAGUUGUCUAGCUCACAGGGAUAUCCACAAGCCAGACCCAGAAAGCCUUUGCUACCAUUGAUGAAGAUGCCAAGUCCACAGCCCAACAGCCAGAAGACCCUUGGUCU
rnacentral:lncRNA from 1 species